rnacentral:rRNA from 1 species
UACGUAGGGGGGCAAGCGUUGUCCGGAAUCAUUGGGCGUAAAGCGCGCGUAGGCGGCCCGGUAAGUCCGUUGUAAAAAGUCGAAGGCUCAACCUUCGAAAGCCGAUGGAUACUGCCGGGCUAGAGUACGGAAGAGGCGAGUAGAAUUCCUGGUGUAGCGGUGGAAUGCGCAGAUAUCAGGAGGAAUACCCAUAGCGAAGGCAGCUUGCUGGGACGUUACUGACGCUGAGGCGCGAAAGCGUGGGGGAGCGAACAGG